UGCGCGCUGGCCAGCUGGUCUGUGCAUGAAGAUCUGGUCUGCGCAAGUGCUCCGGCACGCAUGCCAAUUUCGGCACUCUGUGCCAAAAAGCAGAUGGCAGAAGUUGGAUGGGGGCCUACGAGAAAAAUCCAGGACUAUCUCUACAAUAUUGAAAAGACAUUUCAGAAAGAGGUAAUGGCUAACGCCUCCUGUGUUGUGGCAAGAAAACUACACACACAUGGCUAUGUAGUUAUCAAAAAUAUAGCUCAAUUUGACUUUUGACUUUUUAAAAUUAUAGCAAAAUGUUGCCUUUAAAGUGAAGGUGGUUUACUAAUUUUAAUAAAUUAAUACAUUCUGUGGA